rnacentral:rRNA from 1 species
UACGUAGGUGACAAGCGUUGUCCGGAUUUACUGGGCGUAAAGAGCGCGCAGGCGGUCGUUCAAGUCGAGUGUGAAAGCCCCCGGCUCAACUGGGGAGGGUCACUCGAUACUGAUCGACUCGAAGGCAGGAGAGGGUAGUGGAAUUCCCGGUGUAGUGGUGAAAUGCGUAGAUAUCGGGAGGAACACCAGUGGCGAAGGCGACUACCUGGCCUGUUUCUUGACGCUGAGGCGCGAAAGCUAGGGGAGCAAACGGG